UUGUGGCCACAUCAUGUUAAAACCCUAUUUCCUAUAAGAUCACCAAAGUUAAGCAAUGUCAAGCCUGGUCAGUACCUAGAUGUGUGACCAUUUGGGAAUACCACAUGCUGUAAG